UACAGAGGGGGCAAGCGUUGUUCGGAAUUACUGGGCGUAAAGGGCGCGUAGGCGGCCUUCUAAGUCGAACGUGAAAUCCCCGGGCUCAACCCGGGAACUGCGUCCGAUACUGGAAGGCUUGAAUCCGGGAGAGGGAUGCGGAAUUCCAGGUGUAGCGGUGAAAUGCGUAGAUAUCAAGAGGAACACCUGAGGUGAAGACGGGUUGCUGGGCUGACACUGACGCUGAGGCGCGAAAGCUAGGGUAGCAAACGGG
rnacentral:rRNA from 1 species